rnacentral:rRNA from 1 species
CCAUACCACCCUGAACGCGCCUGAUCUCGGCUGAUCUCAGAAGCUAAGCAUGGUCGGGCCUGGUUAGUACUUGGAAGGGAGAAAACCCAGUG